rnacentral:lncRNA from 1 species
GUGGGGGUGGGGGUGGGGGUGGUGCUGGUGUUGGUGUUCGAGGUUGAACUUGAGGUGUUGGUGUUGGUGGUUGAACUUGAGGUGUUGCUCUCGGUGUUUGUGGUGGUGGUGGUGUUGGCGGUGUUUGUGGUGUUGUUUUUGGUGGUGGUGAAGUCAUCUGAACUGAACUAUUAACAGUAGUGUCAGAGCUCCCCCAAUCAUCUUGGAUUGUAAGCUCCUCACCACUGCCG